rnacentral:rRNA from 1 species
AACGAACGCUGGCGGCAUGCCUAACACAUGCAAGUCGAACGAGACCUUCGGGUCUAGUGGCGCACGGGUGCGUAACGCGUGGGAACCUGCCCUUAGGUUCGGAAUAACUCCCCGAAAGGGGUGCUAAUACCGGAUAAUGUCUUCGGACCAAAGAUUUAUCGCCUUUGGAUGGGCCCGCGUUGGUUUAGCUAGUUGGUAGGGUAAAAGCCUACCCAGGCGACGAUCCAUAGCUGGUCUGAGAGGAUGAUCAGCCACACUGGGACUGAGACACGGCCCAGACUCCUACGGGAGGCAGCAGUGGGGAAUAUUGGACAAUGGGCGAAAGCCUGAUCCAGCGAGGCCGCGUGAGUGAUGAAGGCCUUAGGGUUGUAAAGCUCUUUUACCCGGGAUGAUAAUGACAGUACCGGGAGAAUAAGCUCCGGCUAACUCCGUG